AGUGAGGAAUAUUGGUCAAUGGGCGGAAGCCUGAACCAGUCAUCCCGCGUGAAGGAAGACAGCCUUACGGGUUGUAAACUUCUUUUCUGUUUGAAGAAUAAGCCCGUUGAGACGGGUGAUGCCGGUAGGACAGGAAUAAGCAUCGGCUAACUCCGUGCCAGCAGCCGCGGUAAUACGGAGGAUGCAAGCGUUAUCCGGAUUUAUUGGGUUUAAAGGGUGCGCAGGUGGUUUAAUAAGUCAGUGGUGAAAGUCUGUCGCUUAACGGUAGGAUUGCCAUUGAUACUGUUAGACUUGAAUAUGGGUGAGGUAAGUGGAAUGUGUAGUGUAGCGGUGAAAUGCAUAGAUAUUACACAGAACACCGAUUGCGAAGGCAGCUUACUAAUCCAUUAUUGACGCUGAGGCACGAAAGCGUGGGGAUCAAAACAGGAUUAGAUACCCUGGUAGUCCACGCUGUAAACGAUGAUCACUCGCUGUUUGCGAUAUACAGUAAGCGG
rnacentral:rRNA from 1 species